AUAUCCGCAGGGCGGAGCGAGCACUCAGUAAGAAAGGAUAGCUUUUCUCCCUUUUCUGCUUCGCUCCCAACUAAGAAUGCAGAGUCAGGGAGAUGGCGCAGAGACAAUGCUGCUGUCCAUUGAAGCCCUCCAAAGGUCGGAGAUUCGAUCACAGGACAGCCUGGCCUGGACCAAGUCAGGUUGAUAUGGCUAGGCGGCCUGCUGGCGAGAUAGUGGGAGUGGGCGGUCCGCCCCUCAGGACCUCUGACUUGGACAGAUGACUGGAUGACUCUCUGGGGCAGCAUUCACCGGAACUCAUAUGGAGGGGACUGCCUGAGAAACCAACCUGUGUGCCUGGGUCAGGUUGAUAUGGCUAGGCGGCCUGCUGGCGAGAUAGUGGGAGUGGGCGGCCCGCCCCUCAGGACCUCUGACCUGGACAGAUGACUGGAUGACUCUCUGGGGCAGCAUUCACCGGAACUCAUAUGGAGAGGACUGCCUGAGAAACCAACCUGUGUGCCUGGGUCAGGUUGAUAUGGCUAGGCGGCCUGCUGGCGAGAUAGUGGGAGUGGGCGGUCCGCCCCUCAGGACCUCUGAUUUGGACAGAUGACUGGAUGACUCUCUGGGGCAGCAUUCACCGGAACUCAUAUGGAGGGGACUGCCUGAGAAACCAACCUGUGUGCCUGGGUCAGGUUGAUAUGGCUAGGCGGCCUGCUGGCGAGAUAGUGGGAGUGGGCGGUCCGCCCCUCAGGACCUCUGACUUGGACAGAUGACUGGAUGACUCUCUGGGGCAGCAUUCACCGGAACUCAUAUGGAGGGGGCUGCCUGAGAAACCAACCUGUGUGCCUGGGUCAGGUUGAUAUGGCUAGGCGGCCUGCUGGCGAGAUAGUGGGAGUGGGCGGUCCGCCCCUCAGGACCUCUGACUUGGACAGAUGACUGGAUGACUCUCUGGGGCAGCAUUCACCGGAACUCAUAUGGAGGGGGCUGCCUGAGAAACCAACCUGUGUGCCUGGGUCAGGUUGAUAUGGCUAGGCGGCCUGCUGGCGAGAUAGUGGGAGUGGGCGGUCCGCCCCUCAGGACCUCUGACUUGGACAGAUGACUGGAUGACUCUCUGGGGCAGCAUUCACCGGAACUCAUAUGGAGGGGGCUGCCUGAGAAACCAACCUGUGUGCCUGGGUCAGGUUGAUAUGGCUAGGCGGCCUGCUGGCGAGAUAGUGGGAGUGGGCGGUCCGCCCCUCAGGACCUCUGACUUGGACAGAUGACUGGAUGACUCUCUGGGGCAGCAUUCACCGGAACUCAUAUGGAGGGGGCUGCCUGAGAAACCAACCUGUGUGCCUGGCCCACCACCUACCAGAGGUAUUGGAAAAGAACGGAUACGGAGGAAGUGGACCCAUUUAGAGGUGAUUAUUUGGAGCAAAUCCCAUCUGCUUUGUCAGUUAUUGAGCAGUUCCGUUCAUAGGCUGGCAAUGGCAGCUUGAUCCACUCUCAAAGUCUUCAUGGAUACACCAGCAGUCCGUUCAGUAAAGUCCAGAUAGCAGCAGUUGCACGACCUAGCAGGAACAACCAGGCCUCAGCUGAAGACAGUAGUCUACAGGAGGCAUUGGACUAGCAUGAAUGUCAGGAGAAACUUACAGCUGUGCCUCUCUUAAGGAAGUGAAGAUCAGUGAAGACAGGAGACCAAAAGGCGUUUAGCUGUGCAAGCAAGCCAAGCCCUUCUCCCAGUCCCUCCAAACAUCACUAGUCCUCCACAGGACUUGUCUCACCAUGUGUUGCCUCAGCAAAACUCACCUUUACAAACACAGCUUUGAAGGCCAGUUUUUUGAGUUAAUAAUGUAAACAAAUGUUAUUCUACGACAAACGUAGAAUUCAAGAGAAAAAUGGAGUAAUGAGUAAACCAGACAUUAAAAAAGAUUCUAUAAAUGAUCGAAUUACCUUUAGGCUACUGCAGCUUAGGUAUAAUGUAAGGGGAGUAAUAAUCUACAAAUAAGCAAAUGAGCCAAGAUGACCAAGAUGGAAAUGGUUUGAUUAGGAAUUUGAUUAGGGAAGUUCUGCCAAGGCAGGGAUAGUUGGGGUGGACACCUUUAGUCCCAGCACUGGGGCUUUAUGCAUGCUAAGGACGAGCUCUAUUGCUGGGCCCCACGCUCUAGAGUCAAUGCUCUAAAAUACUGCACAAACUAAUUCUCAGACAUUAACUGCAGGAAGAAUGCUCUAAUCCUAGAUGAGUGUUUUCAAAACAAAACUUAGCAGCGAAGACCAAAAAAUACAGAAAAAGCACCCAAAACAGACGAAAUGCCAGUUCAUCAGGAAGCCAAAACUUGACAGAAAUAUCUCUCAAAUAACAUUUAAUCUCUCUCCCUUUGUUCUAAUCCUGUCCCCACCCAGCAACCACCUGAUGUGUAAUUUGGUUUUCUAAGUGACCAUAGCCAUCGGUCAGAGACACUAAGCUGGGCCCAAAUAAAAGAAGAAAAUAAAUAAGAAGUUAAAUUAAGUUAAAACCCUUGGGUCUCACUUGAACCAAUAUCUCUUAAAUUUUUGUACAUCGUUGACACCCCUGAGGAUAUUUACAUUUUUCACCUUUAGCGACUAGAAUGUGUAUCAUCUAGCCAGGCAAUGGUACACACCUUUCUUUAAUCCCAAUACUCAGGAGGCAGAGGCAGGUAGAUCCCAGUGUUUGAGGCCAGCCUGGUCUACAGAGAGAGCCUAGGUAGGCCAGGGUUACACAGAGAAACCAAGUCCUAAGAAAAGAGAGGUGUGGGGAAGGGAGAAAUUGUGUAUCACUGUAUGAUCUUUCUUUCCUAAGUUCUACUUGGCUACCUUCUUGUAUGUUCUCAGUAGAUGCUAAUCCUAUUUACAUUGUGGCAUUUUGGUGCUUGUAUUAAGCAAAUCACAAUGGGCCUUCCUUAGGACUGGACUGGAAGGGAACAAUUUCAAUGUCUUUAAGAAGGCAGAGAGAGCCAGAAAAUGGCCGCGGCUAAGAAUUAAGUUUACAAAACCUUCCAGCUGGUAAAUUCCUUACAAAGUACAAAACAGUGUGUAAUUAUUUUCCAAGCGUUUUGUGUGAUUGUCUUUCCAAUCUCCAGUUUAAAAAAGCAGAAAUCAAACCUAGCAGUACAUCUCUGAAGCAAUGACAGCAAUCUAACGUUCCAGAGAAAUGAGGGAGCACGCUGGUUUCACCAGAAUCCAUCCUACCAGUAACGUUAUUCACCGAGAGCUAAGGUCAUGGUUGAUGGUGAACUUUUCCCAUUCUGAAUUUGAUAUGAACAUAACAUUUUAAUAAUAUGAGCAUCUAAGAAACAGACCCAGAUCAAAAGCGGUUUUAACUGGAAACUAAAAUUGCAAUCAGCAGGCACGAUGGUACCUCUUUAUUUUCUCAUUAAAGCUGCCAACAUUCUG
rnacentral:lncRNA from 7 species